AGAGUUUGAUCCUGGCUCAGAUUGAACGCUGGCGGCAUGCCUUACACAUGCAAGUCGAACGGCAGCACGGGAGCUUGCUCCUGGUGGCGAGUGGCGAACGGGUGAGUAAUAUAUCGGAACGUACCCUAGAGUGGGGGAUAACGUAGCGAAAGUUACGCUAAUACCGCAUACGAUCUACGGAUGAAAGUGGGGGAUCGCAAGACCUCAUGCUCAUGGAGCGGCCGAUAUCUGAUUAGCUAGUUGGUGUGGUAAAAGCUCACCAAGGCGACGAUCAGUAGCUGGUCUGAGAGGACGACCAGCCACACUGGAACUGAGACACGGUCCAGACUCCUACGGGAGGCAGCAGUGGGGAAUUUUGGACAAUGGGCGCAAGCCUGAUCCAGCAAUGCCGCGUGAGUGAAGAAGGCCUUCGGGUUGUAAAGCUCUUUUGUCAGGGAAGAAACGGUUCGGGCUAAUAUCCUGGGCUAAUGACGGUACCUGAAGAAUAAGCACCGGCUAACUACGUGCCAGCAGCCGCGGUAAUACGUAGGGUGCAAGCGUUAAUCGGAAUUACUGGGCGUAAAGCGUGCGCAGGCGGUUGUGCAAGACAGAUGUGAAAUCCCCGGGCUCAACCUGGGAAUUGCAUUUGUGACUGCACGGCUAGAGUGUGUCAGAGGGGGGUAGAAUUCCACGUGUAGCAGUGAAAUGCGUAGAGAUGUGGAGGAAUACCGAUGGCGAAGGCAGCCCCCUGGGAUAACACUGACGCUCAUGCACGAAAGCGUGGGGAGCAAACAGGAUUAGAUACCCUGGUAGUCCACGCCCUAAACGAUGUCUACUAGUUGUCGGGUCUUAAUUGACUUGGUAACGCAGCUAACGCGUGAAGUAGACCGCCUGGGGAGUACGGUCGCAAGAUUAAAACUCAAAGGAAUUGACGGGGACCCGCACAAGCGGUGGAUGAUGUGGAUUAAUUCGAUGCAACGCGAAAAACCUUACCUACCCUUGACAUGUCUGGAAUCCUUGAGAGAUCAGGGAGUGCUCGAAAGAGAAUCAGAACACAGGUGCUGCAUGGCUGUCGUCAGCUCGUGUCGUGAGAUGUCGGGUUAAGUCCCGCAACGAGCGCAACCCUUGUCAUUAGUUGCUACGAAAGGGCACUCUAAUGAGACUGCCGGUGACAAACCGGAGGAAGGUGGGGAUGACGUCAAGUCCUCAUGGCCCUUAUGGGUAGGGCUUCACACGUCAUACAAUGGUACAUACAGAGGGCCGCCAACCCGCGAGGGGGAGCUAAUCCCAGAAAGUGUAUCGUAGUCCGGAUUGUAGUCUGCAACUCGACUACAUGAAGUUGGAAUCGCUAGUAAUCGCGGAUCAGCAUGUCGCGGUGAAUACGUUCCCGGGUCUUGUACACACCGCCCGUCACACCAUGGGAGCGGGUUUCACCAGAAGUGGGUAGCCUAACCGC
rnacentral:rRNA from 1 species